rnacentral:rRNA from 1 species
CAUCCUCCAAGGCUAAAUACUCCUGACUGACCGAUAGUGAACCAGUACCGUGAGGGAAAGGCGAAAAGAACCCCGGCGAGGGGAGUGAAAAAGAACCUGAAACCGUGUACGUACAAGCAGUGGGAGCCCCACCACUAAGCCAGUGGUGAACUCCACAUACGCAUCCUUUGCUGAGGAUACGGUUAACGGAGCGCAAGCGACGUUCAACCGCAAAAGAAGCAGAGGGGGCUUAGUGGUGGGGUGACUGCGUACCUUUUGUAUAAUGGGUCAGCGACUUAUAUUCUGUAGCAAGGUUAACCGAAUAGGGGAGCCGGAGGGAAACCGAGUCUUAAUUGGGCGUUAAGUUGCAGGGUAUAGACCCGAAACC